CGAGCUGCAACAAUAAACAGGGGCGGACGUCAGUGCAUGAUGAUGCUAACACACACUCCAUCGGCACAGUAUGACGCCACCUUUAUAAUGAAUCAUUAUCCUGCACAUAAACCAGAAUAUUGUUUUUGGAAAGAAUAAAUAUGUGCAAAUUAUCGGACGGAUAGCACCUGAUUUAAUCGGAUGACAGAUGAUCUUUGCGCGUCCAUAGUAGUAUUGAUUUCUCCACCACGUGAUCUCUGAUGAGUUUGAGAAAAUCAACUUGAUCUUGAGAGGCGUGCACAUACUACUACUAGUAGAUGACCACGGGUGCUAAACUGUUUGAGCUUUGUUCCUUCCUGACGAACAAGCUAUUUGCUUCUUUCUUUUACUGUUCAAUCCCGAUAAUGAUCGACGUAUCAUGUCUUUUGCAGUCAGUUGAGCAGGCCGGCCGCAUCCUCUUCUCAGCCAUAGUACAGAACCAUAGAGAAGCUUGCUCGAAGCAGAGCAAGUCGUGCUGAGCCAUGGCGACGCACGCGUUGGGCAGUGGCCGGCGGCUCGGUGCUCGGCCGUGGAGGCGGAGAAGCGCCGGCGACUUAGCACAGGGGUGUGAUUCCAGGAGAGGUGACACGGCGGCAACCCAACGGAAGGUGCGCAGGGGCUGCUCGCAAGCAGAGGCAUCAGGCGGCUUCGAGACACAAGCGCGACGGCGACGGUGACUUAGCAGCCCGGCAGUACGGCGGCUCUCCUGCUGUGAGGGCGAGGCAAAACGCCGCGACGCUGAACAACGGAGGCAGAAGAAGCGCUCGAGGGGGGGCCCGGGCGGCGCUUCACAGGCUGCCCUCGGCCGGGGCGGCUCGCCGCAGCAGGCGAAGGUGAGCUCGGCGGCGACUCGGGAUCGGGCGGCUCAGCGUGAGGGGGCACUGGCCAGGCGAGGCGCCGGCUCUAAGAACCACACCGGCGGACACAGGCGGAGAGGUGGAGGCAGCCGCUCGACGCACAGCGUUGCCGGAGCCAGCCCGGAGCAACGACCGGCUGGAGGCAGAGGCGCAAGGCGAGAGCCGGCCCCGAGCAGCGACGAAGUCCGUGCCCACGACCCUAUCCUCUUCCGGGUCGUGGUUGAUCUGACAACUCCCUUCUUUUCUUUUCUUUUUCUUUUUUUGAGCAGAUCGGAUCAAGCAAAUUGCAACCGGACGCUGGUUUCCGUCCAUGGAUGGAAUAAAAAACUAGAACCAUACUAGGAUCAGUACUAGUGAGAUUAUAUCACCUUGAGAUC